GACGGAGGGUGCUAGCGUUGUUCGGAAUUACUGGGCGUAAAGGGCGCGUAGGCGGCCUGGUCAGUCGGAUGUGAAAGCCCGGGGCUCAACCCCGGAACUGCCUUCAAAACUCCCAGUCUGGAGGUCGAGAGAGGUGAGUGGAAUUCCGAGUGUAGAGGUGAAAUUCGUAGAUAUUCGGAGGAACACCAGUGGCGAAGGCGGCUCACUGGCUCGAUACUGACGCUGAGGUGCGAAAGCGUGGGGAGCAAACAGG
rnacentral:rRNA from 1 species